rnacentral:rRNA from 1 species
UACGUAGGUGGCAAGCGUUGUCCGGAUUUAUUGGGCGUAAAGAGCUCGUAGGUGGUUCGGUAAGUCGGAUGUGAAAUCUCCAGGCUCAACCUGGAGGGGUCAUUCGAUACUGCCGUGACUAGAGUUCGGUAGAGGAGUGUGGAAUUCCUGGUGGAGCGGUGAAAUGCGCAGAGAUCAGGAGGAACACCCGUAGCGAAGGCGGCACUCUGGGCCGAUACUGACACUGAGGAGCGAAAGCGUGGGGAGCGAACAGG